GGUAUUUCUUCUUUCUUUUUCAGUUUUUAGAGUUGAAAUCACAUACAUAUGUUGAAUUUUUUGAAGUUAGAAUUCUUGUUAUGUUUGCUUAUUUUGUCAAUUUUCUUUCACUCUACAGGAUGAUUCUGAGGUUUGCUAUUAGUUUUCCUCUAGAAUAAAGGUACAAUUUUUUUCUUUUUGAGUACUUUAAUUGAGAUUAGUAUGGUAGAAACUUGUGUUAUAAAUUUUAUGGUUUCUUCUCAUAUGUUGUCAAAGUUGUUCAAUUCUAGCUCACAACUCAGAAUUAUUAACAAUCAAACUCACUUUGCAGACCAUUGUGGUAGUACCGGUUGAACCAUGAGGACUAGUACAGUUUGGAUCUACUGAGAAGAUAUCUGAAAGAUUGGACUUUGUGGAUCAAACAAUGAGGCUCUUUCAGGAAACCGAAAAUCUUGAUGUGUUUAGCACAUUGGAAAAUGCUAAUUCAUAUGAAAAAGUAUAAACCUAUGACAUAAAUGGAUUGUUUGCUUCCUUAAUCUCAUCCCAAAAUUUGAGUAACGAGUUCACUCCAGUUUUUGGUGAUGACAAUUACAAACAGUUGGGGGAAAACAAUUGCUCUGCAUUGAACUCUAAUCAAUGCUCACCUUCUGUAUCUGAUAU